AUUUUCUCAGAUUUCGUUAUAUGAUCAAUUUGAUUUUUAAGCUAAAUGAUAAGUAUCAAUUAACACAGAAAGCAAUAAUUUUAUUUUUCGUGGAAGAUUGCCUGUACGAUGAGGUCUCUUUGGGAACCCUAGGAAACCACAAAAUUUAAAAAAAAACAUGACCACGGGAGCUUACGACGACAUUCAUGAUUGGAAAAUAUAAUGAUAUUCCAAUAGUUUGCAUAUAAAUGUAGCCGUGUGUUAUCCGUUAACUUAAACUCGUUAACUAGACAUCUUUUUCGAUACUGGGCACCCUACUACAAGCCUGGCCAGGUAAACAAUACGUUUGUUUAAAGUAAGACAUUACAUUUUGUUGACAUUUAUCGUAAAACA
rnacentral:lncRNA from 1 species